AUUGAACGCUGGCGGCAUGCCCUACACAUGCAAGUCGAACGGCAGCGGGGGAGAAGCUUGCUUUUCCUGCCGGCGAGUGGCGAACGGGUGAGUAAUACAUCGGAACGUGCCCUGUAGUGGGGGAUAACUAGUCGAAAGAUUAGCUAAUACCGCAUACGACCUGAGGGUGAAAGUGGGGGACCGCAAGGCCUCAUGCUAUAGGAGCGGCCGAUGUCUGAUUAGCUAGUUGGUGGGGUAAGGGCCUACCAAGGCGACGAUCAGUAGCUGGUCUGAGAGGACGAUCAGCCACACUGGGACUGAGACACGGCCCAGACUCCUACGGGAGGCAGCAGUGGGGAAUUUUGGACAAGGGGCGAAAGCCUGAUCCAGCAAUGCCGCGUGUGUGAAGAAGGCCUUCGGGUUGUAAAGCACUUUUGUCCGGAAAGAAAUGGCUCUGGUUAAUACCUGGGGUCGAUGACGGUACCGGAAGAAUAAGGACCGGCUAACUACGUGCCAGCCGCCGCCGUAA
rnacentral:rRNA from 1 species